rnacentral:rRNA from 1 species
AGAGUUUGAUCCUGGCUCAGGAUGAACGCUGGCGGCGUGCCUAAUACAUGCAAGUCGAGCGAACGGACGAGAAGCUUGCUUCUCUGAUGUUAGCGGCGGACGGGUGAGUAACACGUGGAUAACCUACCUAUAAGACUGGGAUAACUUCGGGAAACCGGAGCUAAUACCGGAUAAUAUUUUGAACCGCAUGGUUCAAAAGUGAAAGACGGUCUUGCUGUCACUUAUAGAUGGAUCCGCGCUGCAUUAGCUAGUUGGUAAGGUAACGGCUUACCAAGGCAACGAUGCAUAGCCGACCUGAGAGGGUGAUCGGCCACACUGGAACUGAGACACGGUCCAGACUCCUACGGGAGGCAGCAGUAGGGAAUCUUCCGCAAUGGGCGAAAGCCUGACGGAGCAACGCCGCGUGAGUGAUGAAGGUCUUCGGAUCGUAAAACUCUGUUAUUAGGGAAGAACAUAUGUGUAAGUAACUGUGCACAUCUUGACGGUACCUAAUCAGAAAGCCACGGCUAACUACGUGCCAGCAGCCGCGGUAAUACGUAGGUGGCAAGCGUUAUCCGGAAUUAUUGGGCGUAAAGUGCGCGUAGGCGGUUUUUUUAAGUCUGAUGUGAAAGCCCACGGCUCAACCGUGGAGGGUCAUUGGAAACUGGAAAACUUGAGUGCAGAAGAGGAAAGUGGAAUUCCAUGUGUAGCGGUGAAAUGCGCAGAGAUAUGGAGGAACACCAGUGGCGAAGGCGACUUUCUGGUCUGUAACUGACGCUGAUGUGCGAAAGCGUGGGGAUCAAACAGGAUUAGAUACCCUGGUAGUCCACGCCGUAAACGAUGAGUGCUAAGUGUUAGGGGGUUUCCGCCCCUUAGUGCUGCAGCUAACGCAUUAAGCACUCCGCCUGGGGAGUACGACCGCAAGGUUGAAACUCAAAGGAAUUGACGGGGACCCGCACAAGCGGUGGAGCAUGUGGUUUAAUUCGAAGCAACGCGAAGAACCUUACCAAAUCUUGACAUCCUUUGACAACUCUAGAGAUAGAGCCUUCCCCUUCGGGGGACAAAGUGACAGGUGGUGCAUGGUUGUCGUCAGCUCGUGUCGUGAGAUGUUGGGUUAAGUCCCGCAACGAGCGCAACCCUUAAGCUUAGUUGCCAUCAUUAAGUUGGGCACUCUAAGUUGACUGCCGGUGACAAACCGGAGGAAGGUGGGGAUGACGUCAAAUCAUCAUGCCCCUUAUGAUUUGGGCUACACACGUGCUACAAUGGACAAUACAAAGGGCAGCGAAACCGCGAGGUCAAGCAAAUCCCAUAAAGUUGUUCUCAGUUCGGAUUGUAGUCUGCAACUCGACUACAUGAAGCUGGAAUCGCUAGUAAUCGUAGAUCAGCAUGCUACGGUGAAUACGUUCCCGGGUCUUGUACACACCGCCCGUCACACCACGAGAGUUUGUAACACCCGAAGCCGGUGGAGUAACCUUUUAGGAGCUAGCCGUCGAAGGUGGGACAAAUGAUUGGGGUGAAGUCGUAACAAGGUAGCCGUAUCGGAAGGUGCGGCUGGAUCACCU